UCUUUACAAAUAGGUACGUUGUUGGUCAUUAGUUUUUAACUUUUACUUUGGUAUUUAUUUAUACCUAUUAAUAGGUCUUUCUUGUCUAUGUUUUUUUAACAUGUAUUUUGGUUUUCAGUGAUCUCUUUAAAAAGAGGUACGUUAUUGGUCUUUAAUAUUUAACUUUUUCCUUGGUGUUUAUUUAAACCUAUUAAUAGGUCUUUCUUGUCUCUGUUUUUUUAAACAUGUAUUUUGGUUUUUAGUGAUCUCUUUAAAAAGGGGUACGUUGUUGGUCAUUAGUUUUUUAACUUUUACUUUGGUAUUUAUUUAUACCUAUUAAUAGGUCUUUCUUGUCUAUGUUUUUUAACAUGUAUUUUGGUUUUCAGUGAUCUCUUUAAAAAGAGGUACGUUGUUGGUCAUUAAUAUUUAACUUUUUCCUUGGUGUUUAUUUAAACCUAUUAAUAGGUCUUUCUUGUCUCUGUUUUUUUAAACAUGUAUUUUGGUUUUUAGUGAUCUCUUUAAAAAGGGGUACGUUGUUGGUCAUUAAUAUUUAACUUUUUCUUUGGUUUUUAUUUAUACCUAUUAAUAGGUCUUGUUAGUCUAUGUUUUUUUAAACAUGGAUUUGGGUCUUUA
rnacentral:lncRNA from 1 species